AUUGAACGCUGGCGGAAUGCUUUACACAUGCAAGUCGAACGAAGCCUUCGGGCUUAGUGGCGCACGGGUGCGUAACGCGUGGGAAUCUGCCCUUAGGUACGGAAUAACUCAGGGAAACUUGUGCUAAUACCGUAUGAUGUCGAGAGACCAAAGAUUUAUCGCCUAGGGAUGAGCCCGCGUAGGAUUAGCUAGUUGGUGGGGUAAAGGCCUACCAAGGCGACGAUCCUUAGCUGGUCUGAGAGGAUGAUCAGCCACACUGGGACUGAGACACGGCCCCAGACUCCUACGGGAGGCAGCAGUGGGGAAUAUUGGACAAUGGGCGAAAGCCUGAUCCAGCAAUGCCGCGUGAGUGAAGAAGGCCUUCGGGUUGUAAACUGC
rnacentral:rRNA from 1 species